rnacentral:rRNA from 1 species
UAAUGAGAGUUUGAUCCUGGCUCAGGACGAACGCUGGCGGCGUGCCUAAUACAUGCAAGUAGAACGCUGAAGGAGGAGCUUGCUCUUCUGGAUGAGUUGCGAACGGGUGAGUAACGCGUAGGUAACCUGCCUGGUAGCGGGGGAUAACUAUUGGAAACGAUAGCUAAUACCGCAUAACAAUGGAUGACACAUGUCAUUUAUUUGAAAGGAGCAAUUGCUCCACUACAAGAUGGACCUGCGUUGUAUUAGCUAGUUGGUGGGGUAACGGCUCACCAAGGCGACGAUACAUAGCCGACCUGAGAGGGUGAUCGGCCACACUGGGACUGAGACACGGCCCAGACUCCUACGGGAGG